UUAAAUUGAAGAGUUUGAUCAUGGCUCAGAUUGAACGCUGGCGGCAGGCCUAACACAUGCAAGUCGAACGGUAACAGGAAGCAGCUUGCUGCUUUGCUGACGAGUGGCGGACGGGUGAGUAAUGUCUGGGAAACUGCCCGAUGGAGGGGGAUAACUACUGGAAACGGUAGCUAAUACCGCAUAACGUCGCAAGACCAAAGAGGGGGACCUUCGGGCCUCUUGCCAUCGGAUGUGCCCAGAUGGGAUUAGCUAGUAGGUGGGGUAAAGGCUCACCUAGGCGACGAUCCCUAGCUGGUCUGAGAGGAUGACCAGCCACACUGGAACUGAGACACGGUCCAGACUCCUACGGGAGGCAGCAGUGGGGAAUAUUGCACAAUGGGCGCAAGCCUGAUGCAGCCAUGCCGCGUGUAUGAAGAAGGCCUUCGGGUUGUAAAGUACUUUCAGCGGGGAGGAAGGGAGUAAAGUUAAUACCUUUGCUCAUUGACGUUACCCGCAGAAGAAGCACCGGCUAACUCCGUGCCAGCAGC
rnacentral:rRNA from 1 species